CUAUGCGGGGCUCAUAGGCGCGUAAAUAUCAGCAUAGAUGAGCACCAACGACUAAAGUAAAGAAGUACUUUAUUCUCUUCUCAUCUCGAAGCAAGAGAGAAAGAAAGAUAGAAAAGGAAACUAGUGACAAAGAACGAAAAAGAGGGGCUAGCAAAUAGAAAAAGAGAAAAUCGAGGGGCCGUCAUAAUUCCUUGAAUUGAACGGCGGGUUAUUCUCUACCAAGGUUACCGACAUAGAGGUUGAACGAAGCAAGCGGGCCAAGCAAGCAGGCUAGCAACCUAGCAGGCAGACUAGCAUGCAAGCAAGUAAGUAAACGAGCAAGGCAGUCAGGCAAGCCAGGCAAGCAGACAGGCAAGUUGGCUGCCCAGUGAGACGCAGAGAGAAAAGCAAAAGAGGGGGCACAUGACGAGUAGGAUGAGAAGAGGUUGGAUGAGAGAGGAAAGAGGAAGGGAGGGAAUCGAUAGAAUGACAAGGACGGUGCGCGAGUAUAUACCGCAGCACGGCAGCAUCAGGCGUCGUCGGCAGUAUAUGGACUUGGAUCAGACGGGUGAAGAGAGGAGGGUAAAAACGUUUCGAAGCGUCCCUGUCUGGCGGCGCCACCGUUGCGUCGCUGUAGAAACGUGCUAUCAAUGUGGUAGUAUAUGUGCUUGUGGGAGAGAGAAGUGAACGGCGGACAACGAGCUCAUGGGGCGACAAGGAAGGGGAUUGGUCGGAGCAUCGGUACGGGUGGAGGGAGGAAGGAGGGCAACACGAUCAGGUCGGCAGGCUGGUGAGAGAAGGAAGAAUAGAGAGAGAAAGGGAAGAGAGAGAGAGAGAUAGAGGAAGAAACGUUGAUGUUGAGCAGUGAGGUGAGCGAAAUAGAAGAGGGGAGGGGAGUGGACGGGCGGUUGGUCGACAGCUAUGGUGAGGGUCAGAGGGGUAAGAGGAGGCAGAGCCGACUUUAUGCAGCUGCGGGACGAUAACAACGAUGGGCUACAGGACCGCCGCUAUAGCUGGGGAAAUGCCAAAUGGGCUACAGGACUGUGCCGGCCUAGCUGUACGUUCGCUCGCUCGUAGUGGCAUGGCGGGCGGGCGGUAGAGAGAAGCAGGCAGGAAAGGCGGGAAGGAGAAAGGGAUUUCAAGCGGUCGUCUCUUCUCGUCUGCCUCUGCGCUCUACCUACCUAUGUAUACCUACCUACCCGGCCCGGGUGCUCUCUCCGGGUACACUUCUCUCCACUGCCUGGAACAUACCGUCCUGGCCAUACCUAACCUCUACUGCUUUCUGCGGCUAGCGCCCUUGCUGAUGUUCCUCAACAUCGGAGCACGUAGCCGCUUACGCAGACUUCGAUGUCAUUCAUCUUGAGCGAGGUCGAUUAUUGUUCUCUUUUGGAAAAUCUUAUGUCCUUACAAAUAUGAUAUCACGCAAUAGUUAGUAUCAUAACAGCCUCUGUAACCGUAAAAAUCAUAAAAAAAAUAUAAAAUAUUUUUGUGAUAAAAAUUUAUAAAUGUUUAGUUUAAAAAUGAUUUCUAUAUUAAAUUACUUAUUAUCAAUUUUAUCAGUUAUAAAAUAUUAAGUUUUAUAAAAAACGAACAAUCUUUUUAAAACAUUAUAUAUGAUUAAUAUUAAUGUUUUUUUAUUAUUUUAAAUAAAAUUUCUCUUAAUAAUAUAAAUAAAAUAAAUAUAAUAAAUAAAAUAUUAGAAUUAUAUAGUAAAUGUUAUACUAUAUUAUUAUCAAUAAAUAAUAAGAGAAGUUGAAUCUAUGAUUUUAUAAACCAUGUUAUGACUUCUAUGUAGUUCAAAGAAUAUAAACAAUAAGAUAAAUGAUAAAUGAAGAAAAUGAAGAAAUAUAUAAAUAAAUAAAUGAAGAAAAAUGUAUAUAUACAAAAGAAAUAAAAAAUAUAUAUAUAUAUAAAAUAAA